CGCACGGUCUGGGAGUCGGGCGCUCGGCAGAGUUACACAAAUACACCCGCAACAGAACUGAGACAAAACAGCUUCUCUGCAGCAUGAUAGCAAUGCCUACCAAAGGAUUCAAAUCAGGAUGGACACUGGAGAGCACACAGAGCAAAUGGCAAACCUGUCCCAAGGAACUUCUGUAGCACUAUCUCCUUUUGAAUUACACAACUUUUACUUUCCAGUCUCAGUGGGGGCUGAAUGUCAUGGGAAUAGGGGGAGGACACCAAACCCCACAGAAAUCUCCAAGCUGAAGUCCAGCACCACCAUUCAAUGUGUGCUGCAAGAACAGAUCUAUGGGGCCACUGUGCCCUGCACCUGCCUGCAAGCACAGUCCACCAGAGAUGCUGGAUGAAUUUAGGUCUGGCAAAAGUAAUUGUGAUACAGCUUGCCUAGGGACUGGUGUGGGAUUCAGGCCUGAUUUCAGGCCCAGCAAGGAGGUGCAGGCAAUGUGGAUGUGCCCACACUGUGGUCCUUGCCCUUCUGUGCCAUUCCCUCAGGCAGCUGCAUCAGGGUGACCUCGGAGGAAGGCUGCACUCUCCAAAGAUGUUUUUUCACAGUUCAUCUUCGUUUUACUUUCCUUUACUGUAAUUCUGUAUGGUGUGGCUAAGCUGGUCACAGACAGAUAAAAUGAGACACAUUUUUUUUUCAUUUCAGCUCUUCUUCCUGAACUCCAUACAAGUUAUUUCGUAGCACAUGAGGAAAAAUGUUUAUGUACUGCCUAAAUCAGUCUUAAUGUCUAAAUAAAAUGUUAAAGGUGACAAUCUC